rnacentral:rRNA from 1 species
GAUGAACGCUGGCGGCGUGCCUAAUACAUGCAAGUCGAGCGAACAGACGAGGAGCUUGCUCCUCUGAUGUUAGCGGCGGACGGGUGAGUAACACGUGGAUAACCUACCUAUAAGACUGGGAUAAAUUCGGGAAACCGGAGCUAAUACCGGAUAAUAUAUUGAACCGCAUGGUUCAAUAGUGAAAGACGGUUUUGCUGUCACUUAUAGAUGGUUCCGCGUCGCAUUAGCUAGUUGGUAAGGUAACGGCUUACCAAGGCAACGAUGCGUAGCCGACCUGAGAGGGUGAUCGGCAACACUGGAACUGAGAAACGGUCCAGACUCCUCCGGGAGGAAGCAGUAGGGAAUCUUCGGAAAUGGGCGAAAGCCUGACGGAGAAACGCCGCGUGGGUGAUGAAGGUCUUCGGAUCGUAAACCUCUGUUAUAAGGGAAGAACAAAUGUGUAAGUAACUAUGCACGUCUUGACGGUACCUAAUCAGAAAGCCACGGCUAACUACGUG